rnacentral:rRNA from 1 species
AACGGAAAAGCCCUGCUUGCAGGGUACUCGAGUGGCGAACGGGUGAGUAACACGUGGGUGAUCUGCCCUGCACUUCGGGAUAAGCCUGGGAAACUGGGUCUAAUACCGGAUAGGAGCCAUUUUUAGUGUGAUGGUUGGAAAGUUUUUCGGUGUAGGAUGAGCUCGCGGCCUAUCAGCUUGUUGGUGGGGUAAUGGCCUACCAAGGCGGCGACGGGUAGCCGGCCUGAGAGGGUGGACGGCCACAUUGGGACUGAGAUACGGCCCAGACUCCUACGGGAGGCAGCAGUGGGGAAUAUUGCACAAUGGGCGCAAGCCUGAUGCAGCGACGCCGCGUGGGGGAUGACGGCCUUCGGGUUGUAAACUCCUUUCGCUAGGGACGAAGCUUUUUGUGACGGUACCUAGAUAAGAAGCACCGGCUAACUACGUGCCAGCAGCCGCGGUAAUACGUAGGGUGCGAGCGUUGUCCGGAAUUACUGGGCGUAAAGGGCUCGUAGGUGGUUUGUCGCGUCGUCUGUGAAAUUCCGGGGCUUAACUCCGGGCGUGCAGGCGAUACGGGCAUAACUUGAGUACUGUAGGGGUAACUGGAAUUCCUGGUGUAGCGGUGAAAUGCGCAGAUAUCAGGAGGAACACCGAUGGCGAAGGCAGGUUACUGGGCAGUUACUGACGCUGAGGAGC